GACGAACGCUGGCGGCGUGCCUAAUACAUGCAAGUCGAGCGGACUUUAUCCUUCGGGGUAAGGUUAGCGGCGGACGGGUGAGUAACACGUAGGCAACCUGCCUGUAAGACCGGGAUGACAUUCGGAAACGGAUGCUAAUACCGGAUAUGCAACUUGGCUGCAUGGCUGAGUUGGGAAAGACGGCGCAAGCUGUCACUUACAGAUGGGCCUGCGGUGCAUUAACUAGUUGGUGGGGUAACGGCCCACCAAGGCGACGAUGCAUAGCCGACCUGGGAGGGUGAUCCGCCACACGGGGACUGGGACACGGCCCAGACUCCACUGGGAGGCCGCAGUAGGGUAUCUUCCGCAAUGGACGAAAGUCUGGCGGAGCAACGCCGCGUGAGUGAUGAAGGUUUUCGGAUCGUAAAGCUCUGUUGCCAGGGAAGAACAGCCAGGAGAGUAACUGCUCUUGGAAUGACGGUAACUGAGAAGAAAGCCCCGGCUAACUACGUGCCAGCAGCCGCCGUAA
rnacentral:rRNA from 1 species